AUUGAACGCUGGCGGCAUGCCUUACACAUGCAAGUCGAACGGCAGCACGGGAGCAAUCCUGGUGGCGAGUGGCGAACGGGUGAGUAAUAUAUCGGAACGUGCCCAGUCGUGGGGAUAACGUAGCGAAAGCUACGCUAAUACCGCAUACGAUCUAUGGAUGAAAGCGGGGGAUCGCAAGACCUCGCGCGAUUGGAGCGGCCGAUAUCAGAUUAGGUAGUUGGUGAGGUAAAGGCUCACCAAGCCGACGAUCUGUAGCUGGUCUAAGAGGACGACCAGCCACACUGGGACUGAGACACGGCCCAGACUCCUACGGGAGGCAGCAGUGGGGAAUUUUGGACAAUGGGCGCAAGCCUGAUCCAGCAAUGCCGCGUGCAGGAUGAAGGCC
rnacentral:rRNA from 1 species